rnacentral:rRNA from 1 species
UUAAGCGACUAAGCGUACACGGUGGAUGCCCUGGCAGUCAGAGGCGAUGAAGGACGUGCUAAUCUGCGAAAAGCGUCGGUAAGGUGAUAUGAACCGUUAUAGCCGGCGAUGUCCGAAUGGGGAAACCCAGUGCAAUUCGUUGCACUAUCGUUUGAUGAAUACAUAGUCAAACGAGGCGAACCGGGGGAACUGAAACAUCUAAGUACCCCGAGGAAAAGAAAUCAACCGAGAUUCCCCCAGUAGCGGCGAGCGAACGGGGAGCAGCCCGGAGUCUGAAUCAGCUUGUGUGUUAGUGGAAGCGUCUGGAAAGUCGCAGGGUACAGGGUGAUACUCCCGUACACUAAAGCACACAGGUUGUGAACUCGAAGAGUAGGGCGGGACACGUGGUAUCCUGUCUGAAUAUGGGGGGACCAUCCUCCAAGGCUAAAUACUCCUGACUGACCGAUAGUGAACCAGUACCGUGAGGGAAAGGCGAAAAGAACCCCGGCGAGGGGAGUGAAAAAGAACCUGAAACCGUGUACGUACAAGCAGUAGGAGCCUCUUUAUGGGGUGACUGCGUACCUUUUGUAUAAUGGGUCAGCGACUUAUAUUCUGUAGCAAGGUUAACCGUAUAGGGGAGCCGCAGGGAAACCGAGUCUUAACUGGGCGUUAAGUUGCAGGGUAUAGACCCGAAACCCGGUGAUCUAGCCAUGGGCAGGUUGAAGGUUGGGUAACACUAACUGGAGGACCGAACCGACUAAUGUUGAAAAAUUAGCGGAUGACUUGUGGCUGGGGGUGAAAGGCCAAUCAAACCGGGAGAUAGCUGGUUCUCCCCGAAAGCUAUUUAGGUAGCGCCUCGUGAACUCAUCUUCGGGGGUAGAGCACUGUUUCGGCUAGGGGGUCAUCCCGACUUACCAACCCGAUGCAAACUACGAAUACCGAAGAAUGUUAUCACGGGAGACACACGGCGGGUGCUAACGUCCGUCGUGAAGAGGGAAACAACCCAGACCGCCAGCUAAGGUCCCAAAGUCAUGGUUAAGUGGGAAACGAUGUGGGAAGGCCCAGACAGCCAGGAUGUUGGCUUAGAAGCAGCCAUCAUUUAAAGAAAGCGUAAUAGCUCACUGGUCGAGUCGGCCUGCGCGGAAGAUGUAACGGGGCUAAACCAUGCACCGAAGCUGCGGCAGCGACACUAUGUGUUGUUGGGUAGGGGAGCGUUCUGUAAGCCGUCGAAGGUGGCCUGUGAGGGUUGCUGGAGGUAUCAGAAGUGCGAAUGCUGACAUAAGUAACGAUAAUGCGGGUGAAAAACCCGCACGCCGGAAGACCAAGGGUUCCUGUCCAACGUUAAUCGGGGCAGGGUGAGUCGACCCCUAAGGCGAGGCCGAAAGGCGUAGUCGAUGGGAAACAGGUUAAUAUUCCUGUACUCGGUGUUACUGCGAAGGGGGGACGGAGAAGGCUAUGUUGGCCGGGCGACGGUUGUCCCGGUUUAAGCAUGUAGGCGGAUGUUCCAGGUAAAUCCGGAACGUUACUAACGCUGAGGUGUGAUGACGAGGCACUACGGUGCUGAAGUGACAAAUGCCCUGCUUCCAGGAAAAGCCUCUAAGCAUCAGGUAACAUCAAAUCGUACCCCAAACCGACACAGGUGGUCAGGUAGAGAAUACCAAGGCGCUUGAGAGAACUCGGGUGAAGGAACUAGGCAAAAUGGUGCCGUAACUUCGGGAGAAGGCACGCUGAUAUGUAGGUGAAGUGGUUUACCCAUGGAGCUGAAAUCAGUCGAAGAUACCAGCUGGCUGCAACUGUUUAUUAAAAACACAGCACUGUGCAAACACGAAAGUGGACGUAUACGGUGUGACGCCUGCCCGGUGCCGGAAGGUUAAUUGAUGGGGUUAUCCGUAAGGAGAAGCUCUUGAUCGAAGCCCCGGUAAACGGCGGCCGUAACUAUAACGGUCCUAAGGUAGCGAAAUUCCUUGUCGGGUAAGUUCCGACCUGCACGAAUGGCGUAAUGAUGGCCAGGCUGUCUCCACCCGAGACUCAGUGAAAUUGAACUCGCUGUGAAGAUGCAGUGUACCCGCGGCAAGACGGAAAGACCCCGUGAACCUUUACUAUAGCUUGACACUGAACACUGGUCCUUGAUGUGUAGGAUAGGUGGGAGGCUUUGAAGUGUGGACGCCAGUCUGCAUGGAGCCAUCCUUGAAAUACCACCCUUUAAUGGCUGGUGUUCUAACGUGGGCCCCUAAUCGGGGUUGCGGACAGUGUCUGGUGGGUAGUUUGACUGGGGCGGUCUCCUCCUAAAGAGUAACGGAGGAGCACGAAGGUCAGCUAAUCCUGGUCGGACAUCAGGAGGUUAGUGCAAUGGCAUAAGCUGGCUUGACUGCGAGCGUGACGGCGCGAGCAGGUGCGAAAGCAGGUCAUAGUGAUCCGGUGGUUCUGAAUGGAAGGGCCAUCGCUCAACGGAUAAAAGGUACUCCGGGGAUAACAGGCUGAUACCGCCCAAGAGUUCAUAUCGACGGCGGUGUUUGGCACCUCGAUGUCGGCUCAUCACAUCCUGGGGCUGAAGUAGGUCCCAAGGGUAUGGCUGUUCGCCAUUUAAAGUGGUACGCGAGCUGGGUUUAGAACGUCGUGAGACAGUUCGGUCCCUAUCUGCCGUGGGCGCUGGAGAAUUGAGGGGGGCUGCUCCUAGUACGAGAGGACCGGAGUGGACGCAUCACUGGUGUUCGGGUUGUCAUGCCAAUGGCAUUGCCCGGUAGCUAAAUGCGGAAGAGAUAAGUGCUGAAAGCAUCUAAGCACGAAACUUGCCCCGAGAUGAGUUCUCCCUGACUCCUUGAGAGUCCUGAAGGAACGUUGAAGACGACGACGUUGAUAGGCCGGGUGUGUAAGCGCAGCGAUGCGUUGAGCUAACCGGUACUAAUGAACCGUGAGGCUUAACCUU